CAACCCCUGAUAUAUGUCACGUUCAAGGAGAAUAAUGAUUUAGAAAUUUGAAGUCACGAUAACUCCAAUUCAUAUUAAUUACAUUUUACAGGUAUGGAACCAGCUGUUCUUUUAAAAUACUUCCAAGCUAUACAUGUCUUUGGCGGCAUCUUGUUAAAUUAUUUAAUGAGGUAAUUAUAACUUGGGUCUUCAAAACUUGUAUAACUUGCUGGUUAUCAAAGCUAUCAAUUAAGUGUGAAAACCAAUCAAUAGUAUUAGUGAAACCAUAGUUCAUUAAGUCUAACGGUAAGAAAUUAGAGAAAUGUUUAUUUGUACGCUUAUAAACAAAUUCACAUUUUAUUUUUUAGUUAUUUACCAUAUAAGAUGUAUUUUGUCCGAGUAACCGAAUAGCAAUUUUACUUACCGAUACUCGCAUCGAUCGACGGUUAACCGGGUACUCGUUGCCAACACUA